GAAAUGCGAUAAUUAAUGUGAAUUGCAGAAUUCAGUGAAUCAUCGAGUCUUUGAACACACAUUGCGCCCCCUGGUAUUCCGGGGGGGCAUGCCUGUCCGAGCGUCAUUGCUGCCCUCAAGCACGGCUUGUGUGUUGGGCUUCCGUCCCUGGCAACGGGGACGGGCCCAAAAGGCAGUGGCGGCACCAUGUCUGGUCCUCGAGCGUAUGGGGCUUUGUCACCCGCUCCCGUAGGUCCAGCUGGCAGCUAGCCUCGCAACCAAUCUUUUUAACCAGGUUGACCUCGGAUCAGGUAGGGAUACCCGCUGAACUUAAGC
rnacentral:misc_RNA from 1 species